GAUCAUGGCUCAGGACGAACGCUGGCGGCGCGCCUAACACAUGCAAGUCGAACGAGCGAGAGAGAGCUUGCUUUCUCGAGCGAGUGGCGAACGGGUGAGUAACGCGUGAGGAACCUGCCUCAAAGAGGGGGACAACAGUUGGAAACGACUGCUAAUACCGCAUAAGCCCACAGGUCGGCAUAGACCAGGGGGAAAAAGGAGCAAUCCGCUUUGAGAUGGCCUCGCGUCCGAUUAG
rnacentral:rRNA from 1 species